rnacentral:rRNA from 1 species
GAUGAACGCUGGCGGCGUGCCUAAUACAUGCAAGUCGAGCGAACGGACGAGAAGCUUGCUUCUCUGAUGUUAGCGGCGGACGGGUGAGUAACACGUGGAUAACCUACCUAUAAGACUGGGAUAACUUCGGGAAACCGGAGCUAAUACCGGAUAAUAUUUUGAACCGCAUGGUUCAAAAGUGAAAGACGGUCUUGCUGUCACUUAUAGAUGGAUCCGCGCUGCAUUAGCUAGUUGGUAAGGUAACGGCUUACCAAGGCAACGAUGCAUAGCCGACCUGAGAGGGUGAUCGGCCACACUGGAACUGAGACACGGUCCAGACUCCUACGGGAGGCAGCAGUAGGGAAUCUUCCGCAAUGGGGGAAAGCCUGACGGAGCAACGCCGCGUGAGUGAUGAAGGUCUUCGGAUCGUAAAACGCUGUUAUUAGGGAAGAACAUAUGUGUAAGUAACUGUGCACAUCUUGACGGUACCUAAUCAGAAAGCCACGGCUAACUACGUG